UCAGGACCUGAGCCGCAGUUGGACGCUCAGCCGACUGAGCCGCCCGGGCGCCCCCUGCUGCACAUCAUUUAAAUGUCAGCCAAAGGAAUUUGAACCUUGAGCACAGGGACAUAAGGGUAGAAAAUCCAGCCUGAUGGAAGUUUCCUGAAAGGACCACCCGUUAACUCCUGCUACCCGGACUCCUUAGGGUCCGUUUCUGUUGCCGGCAACCCAAGAACACUGCCUCGUACAGAAAGGUUCCUGGGAAAUGUGGGCCGUGAACUGACACGGAGGCAAAGGAGGCAGAACAGACUCCAGGUGAGGGGACGUGUCAGCCAAGCCUCUCCAGAACUCUGCUUGGCCGGGCUCAAGGCUCAAGGGGACGUGUGGGCGGGGCUCGCCUGGGAAAGCGGGUCCUACCCACCCUUCUCCCGCGGCAGAGGCCCCCAGAUGCUGUUGAGGAGGUGCGAACAUGGGGACGUGAUGAUGGUCAGGCUGCCUGCGUCUGGC